UGCUUAACACAUGCAAGUCGAACGCAACCUUCGGGUUGAGUGGCGGACGGGUGAGUAACGCGUGAGAAUCUGCCUUGGGGUCGGGGACAACCACUGGAAACGGUGGCUAAUACCGGAUAAGCCUUUGGGUAAAAAAUUUAUUGCCCCAAGAGGAGCUCGCGUCUGAUUAGCUAGUUGGUGAGGUAAAAGCUCACCAAGGCAGCGAUCAGUAGCUGGUCUGAGAGGACGAUCAGCCACACUGGGACUGAGACACGGCCCAGACUCCUACGGGAGGCAGCAGUGGGGAAUUUUCCGCAAUGGGCGAAAGCCUGACGGAGCAAGACCGCGUGAGGGAGGAAGGCUCUUGGGUUGUAAACCUCUUUUCUCAGGGAAGAAGCUCUGACGGUACCUGAGGAAUCAGCCUCGGCUAACUCCGUGCCAGCAGCCGCGGUAAUACGGAGGAGGCAAGCGUUAUCCGGAAUUAUUGGGCGUAAAGCGUCCGCAGGUGGCGAUUCAAGUCUGCUGUCAAAGCACGGGGCUUAACUCCGUUAAGGCAGUGGAAACUGAAUAGCUAGAGUGCCGUAGGGGUAGAGGGAAUUCCCGGUGUAGCGGUGAAAUGCGUAGAGAUCGGGAAGAACCAUCGGUGGCGAAAGCGCUCUACUGGACGGCAACUGACACUCAGGGACGAAAGCUAGGGGAGCGAAUGGGAUUAGAUACCCCAGUAGUCCUAGCUGUAAACGAUGGAUACUAGGUGUAGCUUGUAUCGACCCGAGCUGUGCCGAAGCUAACGCGUUAAGUAUCCCGCCUGGGGAGUACGCACGCAAGUGUGAAACUCAAAGGAAUUGACGGGGGCCCGCACAAGCGGUGGAGUAUGUGGUUUAAUUCGAUGCAACGCGAAGAACCUUACCAGGGCUUGACAUGUCCGGAAUCCCGGUGAAAGCUGGGAGUGCCUUCGGGAGCCGGAACACAGGUGGUGCAUGCCUGUCGUCAGCUCGUGUCGUGAGAUGUUGGGUUAAGUCCCGCAACGAGCGCAACCCUCGUCUUUAGUUGCCAGCAUUAAGUUGGGCACUCUAGAGAGACUGCCGGUGACAAACCGGAGGAAGGUGGGGAUGACGUCAAGUCAGCAUGCCCCUUACGCUGUGGGCGACGCACGUACUACAAUGGUCGGGACAGAGGGCAGC
rnacentral:rRNA from 1 species